GAACCCAGCGUCCCAAACAGCGACUGCGGAACGCGCCCGCGCGCCGGCAAGACCCCUCCCGGGACGCCCCGCCCCUUGUGACGUCACAUGGCGUCGGCACACCCAACGCCCCGCCCUCCAGGCACUGGGGAGGGGAAGCCAAAGGACGGAAACCGUCAAGAGACGCCGGCGCUGCCUUCCUCACUCCUCCCCAAUACUGUCAGCGCAGGCCCCGCCCCCUCAGCCAUCCAAUCGGCUCUCGGCCCCACCCUCCUCCCGCUUCCGCCGUCGCUGCGCAGAGUCAGCAUUGCCUUGCCUAGCCUUUCUUAUGCAGAUGAUGAAACUCACCAGAAACCACACAGCCAGAGAAGGGCAAACUGGGUUUUGAAUCUAGGCAACCUUGAUCCAAGAGCCCUCCAGCCUAAAGCAGAUCUUUUUUGGACAGCUGCUAUGUAUCAGCACUGGGACUGCAUCAGUGAAAAGUGAUACAAACAAAAAUCUCUGACUUCGUGGAGCUCACGUUCUAACGUAUAUGCCCAGAAGUGGGAUUUCUGGAUCAUAUGAGUACAAGUUUCCAAGAAGACAUCACGUUUUCAUCGAAGUGGUCCCUGACACUCCAUCUCCGAGUGUGAUUUGAGGGAGCUGCCCAAGCCUCACUCAGGGUUUUACGUAUGAUAUAGAAUACUUAUAUUUUUACCUAUCCAAGAGCUAAAAAGUCCUACAUUACAAGUAUUUCUGGACCCCAAAGUUUUCAGCACAAUAAGACCAGAUCCGCAUCUGCGGGUAUCUAGAUCAGUGACAUGCAGUAGGCAGAGCCCAACGCCUGCCCGAGUCUGUGCGUUUCGUCACCUGAUGGUCCAGGGGGCUGUACAGAGACCUAAAGAACAGCGCCCAGUGGCAUAGCGCCUUGUGUGUGCCCUUGCCAUUGUUCUCCACGCACCCGCAUUUCUGUAUGUGGCGCUGUUACCUGUAAAGUGAAAGACUGGAAGCAACCUAAAUGUCCAAGAUUAGGGAAAUUUUCAUCGAUACUGUGUUACAGCCAAGUGCUGGAAUAUUUUGUAGCUAUUCCAGCAAUCCAUAUAAUAUUAGGUAGCAAUGUGGGAGAAGAAUUCAAAUGUACAUUUAAGUGAAAAGGUAAGACACAAAAUGAUUUGUAUGCUUUAACACAACUUAUGUAAAAGUCAGUGCACAUGGUGGGGAGGGGGAAGUGGAAGAACAUACCCAGACCUGAUGAGUAGUUCAUGUUCUAGGGUAGUAUGGUUAUGGGUAAUUUCCUCCUUAGUUUCAAAAUUGUCAUAGUAUUACUACAUUGCUUUUUUUAAAAAAUUAAGUGUAUCAUACACAUAUACAUGUGUGCUUCUUCCAAGACAAAGUUUAGGACUUUGCUAGGUCUUGGAUUUUAAUAUUAUCAAUUAGAAAUAGAAGUAAUAGAAGUUCUUCUUCAAACUGGUUCAACCUAAGGGAAUUUGUUGGGAUAUAUCACUGGAAAGUUCAGAGGUGGGACCACCCUCAGGGUGAGCUGUUCCAGAGAUUCAUGGGAUCCUCGGUGCUGGGGUUCCGCUUCUCCUGACUGCCUUCCUGCACAAAUCAGCAGACUUUUUGUCGCACUUACUCCCAGCAGAAAAAUGGCCGCAGCAGCUCCUUAUUAGAGAAAGAGCAAGGUCAACUCUUUUCCAAACUAUCGAACAAGUUUUUGCUUCACACUGUGGACCAGUUGCUGAGACCGGGGACUGCUGCACUGGCUUAAGGUUACAUUAUGCCACCUGCAUACCAGUGUGUGGUAAGCUGGUUACAGUCACAAAUAUUUGCUGCCCCUACCUGUGAGAGGAUUUUGCUUCCCCACCUCACUGACAUCAAACUUGGCCUCACUUGCUCUGGCCAUUGAAAUGCAAAUACCGAUGUUCAAACCCAAAAUGUGACAUAGCGGUUGAACGCUGCAGUUGGCUGCACUGAAACCAUUUUGUUCCUCUGUCAGGUAGAAGGGUUCAGAGCCACUGUGUGGUUUGCAGUCCUCCUUCUCGUCUGCUGCAGCUCCUGGCAGUAUUCCAAACAGAGGCUUCAUGGUCAGCCAGGGCUUGAGGAUGGAAAUGAAACUCAUAGAGCCACAGCCAAACCAAGGUGCCAGUGUAGCCUGAGCUGCACCUCUGUCAUUACAAGCUGCUGAGAUUUGCCAGUUGUUUGUUACUGAACAUAACCUGGUCUGUCCUGACUGGGCUUGAGUCCUGCCUUAGCCGUUUCCAAUCUAUGUGACCUUGAACAAGUUACUUCAUUUAUCGAUACUUACUUGAUUCAAAAAUAGAGAUGAUAUGUACAAUUCCUGGUACAAGCUCAAAAAUGACAACGAUCAUUAUUUGUUGAUAAUAAGAAUUACCAUUCUUACUCCCAUGGGGGAUUUUCUUCUAACUAACCUCAGUGAUUCUCAGUGGGCGAUCAAAGUGCUGCCAUCUGAAAAAGGAGGUAUAUUGUGUUCCUUUUCACAAAGGCAAAGUUACAGACUCCAAGUCUCAAUAUAUACACUGAUUAUCUGUAGAUAGAACAAGAACUUCUUCCUCAAAAUAUAAGUGUUAGUUCCUGGAAUGCACUUAUUUUUUUUAAGGAAUGAAAAAAAAAAGAUUAACCCAAAAUUUCAUAUGGGAAAAAUGCUUUUUCACGUUCAAUACCAAAAUGUGAUAUAACUUUUCAACACUACAGUCUGGCUUCACUGAAGUAAUUUUGUUCCUUCUGUGAGUUAUCUAUUAUUGAAGAUAGUCAGGCAACGGAUAUUGAAAUAAAUGAUUUUUCUAUUCCAUUGUGAAAACUCUUGUAUUCCCUGCAUCCCUUCCCACAGAGUGAUGUAUUCUUUUGUGUGUGUGAGAGAGAGAGAGAU